UAAUUUAGCCCAUCCUACCUUUUCACUUUAAUAAGAUUUCAAGGGUUAAAAAAAACCCAUUGUCGAGGUACAUAUCUUACAGUGAAUUGGUUAUGUGGGUCAUCAAUUAAAGACUAAAACAACAACUUUUUUUCACAUUUACAGAUGUAGACAUGGGUAUUUCCACGUGGUGAACAACGACUACACCCAUUGGGAAAUGUAUGCCAUUGGAGGGAGUGCUAACCCAACCAUCAACAGCCAAGGGAACAGAUUUACUGCACCUGAAGACAGAUUCAGCAAAGAGGUGAGAACCCAAUUUAAUACUACUUAAAACCGAAAGUCCAAUCCAUUGAAGUUGAAGGUAUAGUAUUUAAUAAGAGUUGAUGAGUCAUAAUUAUUUCGUGCAGGUGACCAAGCAUGAAGAUGCACCCGAGAGUGAAUGGAAGGGCUGGAAUUGGAGAUCAGAAGGGGACCUGAUGGUGAAUGGUGCAUUUUUCACCCCGUCUGGUGCGGGCGCCUCCUCGAGCUAUGCUAAGGCUUCUAGCUUGGGUGCUAGGCCAUCUUCACUUGUGGCUACGAUAACGACUAAUGCUGGUGCACUUAAUUGCAAGAAAGGUUCUCGUUGCUGAUCGAGACAUAUGAUCGGACAACAUUUUGUUACAAGUGAUUGAAGUGGAGUUCGAGUUCAAUUAAAUUUAGUUAGAGAAACCAGUAGAAAAAGAAAAAAAAAUUUGAAAAAUAUGAGGAAGGAGAAGAAAAGUCUACCUAGAGGAUUUCCUUGGCUUUGUCUUCCCUCCAUAUUUUCCCCUUUUCUUUUACCAUUUUUUUUGCUACUCUAUUUGUUCUUUGUCCUUCCC
rnacentral:lncRNA from 1 species